rnacentral:rRNA from 1 species
GUGGGGAAUCUUGCGCAAUGGGCGAAAGCCUGACGCAGCGACGCCGCGUGGGUGACGAAGGCCUUCGGGUUGUAAAGCCCUGUGGGGGGAGACGAACCGGGUCGUGGCUAAUAUCCACGGUCCUUGACGGUAUCCCUUUAGCAAGCAUCGGCUAACUCUGUGCCAGCAGCCGCGGUAAGACAGAGGAUGCAAACGUUGCUCGGAAUUACUGGGCGUAAAGCGCGCGCAGGUGGUCCGGUAAGUCGGGUGUGAAAUCCCGGGGCUCAACCUCGGAAGUGCACUCGAUACUGCUAGACUUGAGUACUGGAGAGGAGAGCGGAAUUCCCGGUGUAGAGGUGAAAUUCGUAGAUAUCGGGAGGAACACCAGUGGCGAAGGCGGCUCUCUGGACAGAUACUGACACUGAGGCGCGAAAGCGUGGGAAGCAAACAGGAUUAGAUACCCGUGUAGUCC